rnacentral:rRNA from 1 species
CCUACGGGAGGCAGCAGUGAGGAAUAUUGGACAAUGGGCGCAAGCCUGAUCCAGCCAUGCCGCGUGCAGGAUGACGGUCCUAUGGAUUGUAAACUGCUUUUAUACGAGAAGAAACACUACUUCGUGAAGUAGCUUGACGGUAUCGUAAGAAUAAGGAUCGGCUAACUCCGUGCCAGCAGCCGCGGUAAUACGGAGGAUCCAAGCGUUAUCCGGAAUCAUUGGGUUUAAAGGGUCCGUAGGCGGUUUAAUAAGUCAGUGGUGAAAGCCCAUCGCUCAACGGUGGAACGGCCAUUGAUACUGUUAGACUUGAAUUAUUAGGAAGUAACUAGAAUAUGUAGUGUAGCGGUGAAAUGCUUAGAGAUUACAUGGAAUACCAAUUGCGAAGGCAGGUUACUACUAAUAUAUUGACGCUGAUGGACGAAAGCGUGGGUAGCGAACAGGAUUAGAUACCCUGGUAGUCCACGCCGUAAACGAUGGAUACUAGCUGUUGGAAGCAAUUUCAGUGGCUAAGCGAAAGUGAUAAGUAUCCCACCUGGGGAGUACGUUCGCAAGAAUGAAACUCAAAGGAAUUGACGGCUGAGAGNGCGACGACGACGACGAGGGAGGAGG